GAACUACUUGGCUUGAGUGCAGGAGAGGAGAGUGGAAUUCCUAGUGUAGCGGUGAAAUGCGUAGAUAUUAGGAGGAACACCAGUGGCGAAGGCGACUCUCUGGACUGUAACUGACGCUGAGGCACGAAAGCGUGGGGAGCAAACAGGAUUAGAUACCCUGGUAGUCCACGCCGUAAACGAUGAGUGCUAGGUGUCGGGGGUUCACACCCUCGGUGCCGGAGUUAACGCAAUAAGCACUCCGCCUGGGGAGUACGGUCGCAAGACUGAAACUCAAAGGAAUUGACGGGGACCCGCACAAGCAGCGGAGCAUGUGGUUUAAUUCGAAGCAACGCGAAGAACCUUACCAGGACUUGACAUCCCUUUGACAGCACCUUAACCGGAGCCUUCCCUUCGGGGACAAAGGAGACAGGUGGUGCAUGGUUGUCGUCAGCUCGUGUCGUGAGAUGUUGGGUUAAGUCCCGCAACGAGCGCAACCCUUGCCUUUAGUUGCCAUCAGUAAGGCUGGGCACUCUAGAGGGACUGCCGGUGACAAACCGGAGGAAGGUGGGGAUGACGUCAAAUCAUCAUGCCCCUUAUGUUCUGGGCUACACACGUGCUACAAUGGCUGGUACAACGGGCAGCGAAGGAGUAAUCCGGAGCGAAUCCUACAAAGCCAGUCCUAGUUCGGAUUGUGGGCUGCAACUCGCCCACAUGAAGCCGGAGUUGCUAGUAAUCGUGAAUCAGAAUGUCGCGGUGAAUGCGUUCCCGGGUCUUGUACACACCGCCCGUCACACCAUGGGAGCUCAGGGCACCCGAAGUCAGCACUAGGCGCAAGCUGAAGCUGCCGAAGGUGAAAUGAGUGACUGGGGUG
rnacentral:rRNA from 1 species